rnacentral:rRNA from 1 species
ACUAGAGUAGCACUCGCAUAUCAAUAAGCGGAGGAAAAGAAACUAACAAGGAUUCCCCUAGUAACGGCGAGUGAAGCGGGAAGAGCUCAAAUUUGAAAUCUUAAAGGGUUUCCCUUUACGAAUUGUAGUUUAAAGAAGUGUUUUCUGUUGAGGUUUUGGUAAAAGUUCUUUGGAAUAGGACAUCAUAGAGGGUGAGAAUCCCGUAUUUGACCUUUACUUUCAACUUUGUGAUACACUUUCAAAGAGUCGGAUUGUUUGGGAAUGCAGUCCAAAAUGGGUGGUAAAUUUCACCUAAAGCUAAAUAUUGGCGAGAGACCGAUAGCGAACAAGUACCGUGAGGGAAAGAUGAAAAGAACUUUGAAAAGAGAGUAAACAGUACGUGAAAUUGUCAAAAGGGAAGCGUUUGACACCAGUGUUGUUUUUCUGAAAAUCAAUUAAAGAACUGUUUAUGCUAAGCUGUUUAGACUUUAUCAGCUAUCUGUUUAGUUUUGAGCUUUUCUUUAAUGCACUUUUCAGUUAACAAGUCAACAUCAAUUUCUUUUGCUGUAAAAAAGCUUGAGGAAGGUGGCUUGAGAUUCGUCUUAAGUGUUUAUAGCCUCUUGCCUAUGCAGUCGGAGAGAUUGAGGUCUGCAGCGUAGAUCCUUCGGGGCUAAAUGCAUUUGUGCUAAGUUAUAGCAUUUUAUAGACAACUUGUUGACUAUGAUUUGUCUUGUAGCUUACUCGCUUAUGUUAUUUUACCUACGCUUAGGAUGUUGAGCGCAUGUCUCUCUCU